rnacentral:rRNA from 1 species
UAAGUGAAGAGUUUGAUCCUGGCUCAGAGUGAACGCUGGCGGUAGGCCUAACACAUGCAAGUCGAACGGCAGCACAGGAGAGCUUGCUCUCUGGGUGGCGAGUGGCGGACGGGUGAGGAAUACAUCGGAAUCUACUCUGUCGUGGGGGAUAACGUAGGGAAACUUACGCUAAUACCGCAUACGA